rnacentral:rRNA from 1 species
AACGGUAACGCGGGGCAACCUGGCGACGAGUGGCGAACGGGUGAGUAAUGCAUCGGAACGUGCCCAGUUGUGGGGGAUAACUGCUCGAAAGAGCAGCUAAUACCGCAUACGACCUGAGGGUGAAAGCGGGGGAUUCGCAAGAACCUCGCGCAAUUGGAGCGGCCGAUGUCGGAUUAGCUAGUUGGUGGGGUAAAAGCCCACCAAGGCGACGAUCCGUAGCUGGUCUGAGAGGACGACCAGCCACACUGGGACUGAGACACGGCCCAGACUCCUACGGGAGGCAGCAGUGGGGAAUUUUGGACAAUGGACGCAAGUCUGAUCCAGCCAUGCCGCGUGUGGGAAGAAGGCCUUCGGGUUGUAAACCACUUUUGUCAGGGAAGAAAUCUUCUGAGUUAAUACCUCGGGAGGAUGACGGUACCGUAAGAAUAAGCACCGGCUAACUACGUGCCAGCAGCCGCGGUAAUACGUAGGGUGCAAGCGUUAAUCGGAAUUACUGGGCGUAAAGCGUGCGCAGGCGGUUAUGUAAGACAGAUGUGAAAUCCCCGGGCUUAACCUGGGAACUGCAUUUGUGACUGCAUAGCUAGAGUACGGUAGAGGGGGAUGGAAUUCCGCGUGUAGCAGUGAAAUGCGUAGAUAUGCGGAGGAACACCGAUGGCGAAGGCAAUCCCCUGGACCUGUACUGACGCUCAUGCACGAAAGC